GCGGCCCCCAAAUCCCAGCCGUUGGGUGUCUGAUCCCUGCGCUCACGUUUCCGAAAGCCCCGGGCCAUCGCUCGGGAGGUUCCGAAAGUCCCCGAAUACUGGCGGGGCGUUUCCGACGCCGCCUUCGAACCGGAAGCUAUGGGAAGGCUUUGGCCGCUUCGGUGUCACUUGCUGGGAUCGUGUGGACCCGGCCCCCGGCCUGUGACGGUUGGUGGCGCCCAGCUUUCGGCGGAGAGUUCGGCCCAGCCCUGCUCUGCGCUUGCCGCCUCGAAUGCUCUGGUCUUUCUACUUACGCCGCACGCCUCGCCCGCUGGGCCCGAGUCCCGGUGGCUGCAAAGAUCCUGGCCUAGGGUCGGGAGGCAGGUCUGAGCGCAGCUGCACCGGGCAGCCGACCUCCUCGGGCACGCCGCUCGGGCGCCGUUUCGCCAUGGAUUGGACAUGAUUCCCCGUGAGCCCCUGACAUGCCGCCACUGCCAGUUCUGCUGGGAAACUGGCCUUUCCCUUAGGCCACUUCCUCCGUCACCCGCACCCCUCGAUCUCUGCCGUGCUCUGCGCCUCCCGCUCGUCACACUGCCACCUCUCCAGAUCUCCUUUCCCAUUUCCACUUUUCUCUUGUCUCCCGUGUCCGGAGGUCUGCGUCUGGUGCACACUUUCCCGCUCCCGCCUGUGUGACGCCCGGCAGGGCCCUGGGCUUCUGGGCCCUGCCGUCCGCCCAGGGCCCUGCCGUCCCGGAGUCCCUGUGGCAUCCCACACCUGCCCACUUCGUGGGGUGGGUCAGGUGAGACGGGGGGCUACUUUGGAAGCUGGAGUUCUGUGAAGAGUACAUUAAGGAGUGGAAGGACUUGAAAUUCGGCUACUUCUUUUUUCGGACCUUUACCAAGGCUUACUCGGUCUGCAUAGGCUUCGUAGCCAUGUGCUGGAGUGCGCGGUUAGCCCUCUAAGGUAAAGCGAAACACGCUGCGACUUCAGGGUGUCACAACGCUCCAAGCUCAGAUACUCGUGCAAUCGAACAUUGCCAAGAACGUGGGGUGGGAAGAACAAGGUGAGGGAUGCAGUAGUGGGCUCUGACAGUGUGGCAUAACGCUUUCAGGGGCCACUGUGGUGCAGCGCUAAUGAUCUCUUCAAGAGGAGCCAAUCCCACAAGGCGACCCUGGUUCAAAUCCCCACCAGAUUUUAGGAAUUCAUCCAACAUUUGCUGAGUGUGUAUCCUGACUUCGGCUCUGGCAGUUGCUAAUACAGUAAGCAGGACACAUCUGCUGCCCGCUAAGAACACACAGUUUGGGCCGGCAGCAGGCUGGAUCCCACGUGGCUGGCUGCGCAGUUUGAGUUCCAGACAUGGAGGCUUGAAAAUCAUGCCGUGCAUGUGUGCCCAAAAUCCAAAGAGGAGAGUGGAGGAAAAGAGAUUGGGGUGUGGCCGCCUCCAGCUCUUCUUGACAUGCAGGUCUAAGUGUAAGAAUGAUGUAUUCCUCGAAAGACUGAAAGACCAAAAGACGUGCGUCCUCCGAAGCACACCUCACUAGAUGUCUCGGCUCGGCUACCUGAGUAAUCCCCAUGGCCGGUCCGACUCCGUGAAGGGUACAGAAACCUAGUCCGCUUGGGCUGCCACUGAGCCCCCCAUGCAGAGCAGUGCUGAGCGUGGAGUGUGAGGCCCGUACACGGCUGGCCAGGUCAAUCCUUUGAGGAAGGGCGACAUGACUGUGAGUGGGCUUCUGGGAGUAGAGCCGUGGGAACAAGACCUGGGAAUGGAACAGGUGCUGUGGGAUCCAGAGAGGUGGGCUUUACUUGGGGUAUCUCAGGUCAGAAGACGAAAGAAAGACCCCCUCAAUUUUGGUGAUAAGGAGUGGUGGUAAUGGGUGACCUUUAAGGCAGAUAUAUUUCAUUGCUCUUUCAAAAAAAUACUUGUCCAUAAAAAAUUACACGAGGCCCACCAGAUGGCAUGGAGGUUAAGGCCGCUGGAUCUCACAGGACUGUGCUGUUUGAGUCCCGGCCCAGUGUGUGUG